AGCAGCCGCGGUAAUUCCAGCUCCAAUAGCGUAUAUUAAAGUUGUUGCAGUUAAAAAGCUCGUAGUUGAAUUUCGGGAUCAAUACGUCGGUCGUGCUUCGGUACGUACUGGCGUCAUUGAUUUCUCCCUUCUGACGAACCAUGAUGUCAUUAACUUGGUGUCAUGGGAAAUCAGGACUGUUACUUUAGAAAAAUUAGAGUAGUUUAAAGCAGGCUCACGCUUGAAUACAUUAGCAUGGAAUAAUGAAAUAGGACGUUCGAUCCUAUUUUGUUGGUUUUAGGAUCAACGUAAUGAUUAAUAGGGAUAGGUUGGGGGCAUUAGUAUUCAAUUGUCAGAGGUGAAAUUCUUGGAUUUAUUGAAGACUAACUACUGCGAAAGCAUUUGCCAAGGAUGUUUCAUUAAUCAAGAACGAAAGUUAGGGGAUCGAAGACGAUCAGAUACCGUCGUAGUCUUAACCAUAAACUAUGCCGACUAGGGAUCGGAUGAUGUUAAUUUUUAAUGUACUCAUUCGGCUACCCGG
rnacentral:rRNA from 1 species